rnacentral:piRNA from 1 species
UUCAUAAAGUGGUUGAAUGAA